AAUAUUAUGAUUUGCAUUUAAUAAGAAAUAAAAACUAUAUAAAUUCAUGAACUAGCCUAAUAUUGUAGAAUGUGGUAUCUUCUUUAUAAAACUACAGGAAUUUGGAAUAAAAAGCGUAGUUCGUACAACAAGAAGAGGGUCACAGGUCUCUUUCGAAAGAGCAUAAACAUCUGUUGUGUUCGCGAUUGCGUACAAUCGAACGGGGACAGGCUACUUCUUCUUCGUCUCCUAAAAGCGGAAGGAUUUCUGACGAAAAAGAGCUCUUUCGCGGCGGCUUUCAGCUCCUUUCAUCCUGAAAACACUAUUCUCGACCAGUAAGCGAUUUACCACAGCUGACGAACAGAGAUCUCGAUCGAAGAAGAUUCGUUACACUAUGUUUAACGAACAGCUGAUCAGUUUUCCUUGAUAUUUCAGUAUUUUACUGCAGGAAUCUCGCGAAGAGCAAUAAAGCAAAGAAACUUCUGUCGAGGUACGCUUCGAGAGUUUACGAUUUCUUCCACCAUCCGUUAUUUGUGAAAACUUCGAGAAAAUUUGUGUAAUAAGAGCUUAAAACUCGUCUUUAUCGCGACAGUUUAACAACUACUUCAAACUGCCUCUACUGAAAACCAAACCACUGACACCGCGUGUACUUUCAUGAAACUCGCAAAAAGGAGAGCUUUAAAUUUAUAUCAUAGCAACCAGCAGUUACUGAGAAUCGAAUAAAUGUUUACGUUAGAGCAUUUGAAGUGUACGAACAGUUAUUUGAAAAAUAUACGUAGAGAUUUGGUUGCUCGUAGCAAGAACAUGUACAUUGCGUUUCACUGUCUAAAAAUUUUCAAUUUUUAUAUGUUGUGUGUUAAAUACAUUUAUUAUAUAUGUCGG
rnacentral:misc_RNA from 1 species